GUAGGUGGCAAGCGUUGUCCGGAAUUAUUGGGGCGUAAAGCGCGCGCAGGCGGUUCUUUAAGUCUGAUGUGAAAGCCCACGGGCUCAACCGUGGAGGGUCAUUGGAAACUGGAGAACUUGAGUACAGAAGAGGAAAGCGGAAUUCCACGUGUAGCGGUGAAAUGCGUAGAGAUGUGGAGGAACACCAGUGGCGAAGGCGGCUUUCUGGUCUGUAACUGACGCUGAGGCGCGAAAGCGUGGGGAGCAAACAGGAUUAGAUACCCUGGUAGUCCACGCCGUAAACGAUGAGUGCUAAGUGUUAGGGGGUUUCCGCCCCUUAGUGCUGCAGCUGACGCAUUAAGCACUCCGCCUGGGGAGUACGGCCGCAAGGCUG
rnacentral:rRNA from 1 species